CCUACGGGAGGCAGCAGUGAGGAAUAUUGGUCAAUGGGCGGGAGCCUGAACCAGCCAAGUCGCGUGAAGGAAGAAGGUACUGAGUAUUGUAAACCUCUUUUGUCAGGGGAUAAAGGCGGCCACGGGUGCCCUUUUGUGUGUACUUUGUGAAAAAGCAUCGGCUAACUCCGUGCCAGCAGCCGCGGUAAUACGGAGGAUCCGAGCGUUAUCCGGAUUUAUUGGGUUUAAAGGGUGGGAAGGCGGGUUGUAAAGUCGGCGGUAAAAUGUUGGGGCUCAACCCUGACCUGCAGUUGAAACUGGCAGUCUUGAGUAGAGGUGAGGUAGGCGGAAUUCGUGGUGUAGCGGUGAAAUGCUUAGAUAUCACGAAGAACCCCGAUUGCGAAGGCAGCUUACCA
rnacentral:rRNA from 1 species